rnacentral:rRNA from 1 species
AUGAUCGAACAUCUCCAGCAGACGCCAAAAAUAUACUGUCCAGCUAGCAACGGUGACAUCUCCAGCAGACGCCCAAAAUUAACCACACGCGCUCGUACCCAGCUCGCCGCCCGUGGCAUGCUCGCCGCCAUGGUCAUGGCCACGGGCCGCCGCCCGUGGCAUGCUCGCCGCCAUGGUCGUGGCCGCGCCCGUGCCCGCGCUGGCCCCGCCGUGGCCGCGCUUGCCCCGACUGUCAGACCCGAGCGAUGCAACUCGAGACGCGUGAGUAGAGGUGGCUGCACGUGCGGGAACACGUGCGAGAUUGUUCCCCAAGGCGGCACCGUAAAUCCCGUCACCGCUAACUUUCCCCGCUCUCCUCUCUCACAAUUGCGAUGGCAAGCACAAGAUUUGAACAGCGAGCAACAGAGCCAAGAUCUACACGGCGAGCACCGGCUUCAUCAUCGCUUAGGCGAGCAUUUGUUAAUGGCGCUAAAACGCCAAGGGAUGGUGGCGCAGUUGGCUAGCUCCUUGGUCUCCUCAGCGACAACUUGGGUCGUCGCAUCUGCACCUGAAUCAUCAGGUGUGAAUCGAGCAAAUCUGAACCUGGCCUAUCGUUUUUUUUUUACCCUCUACAUCCGGGGUUCAGCCGCCGCCGGCGUAGCAGCCAUGCCUCCGCCGUCACUGUUGCGCCCUCCUCUCUCCCUACUCCUCCGCCGCUGCCAAACUCCAUCUCCUCUCCGACGGAUCCCCAGAUUUAGCCCUCUGCCUAAGCGGCGGCACCUCGUCGCCGCAGGGGUGGAGGAGGCGGUGGUGGGCUUCGUCGCCGGCAAGCGCAAGGCCACCGAGGUAGCCCACGCCCCUGCAAGAGAUGCAGUGGUUGAUGCCACCUGCGGGAAUGGCAACGAUACGCUCGCUCUGCUCAAGAUGUUGGCCGACGAAACAGGGCGAGGGCGUGUCUAUGGAUUGGACAUCCAAGACUCCGCGAUAGAUAGCACUUCUUUUUUUCUGAAAAUGUCCGUCGACAGCCAUGGGUUUCCUUUGAGAAGGAUUAUUUUCCUCCGCCGCUCCCAAACUCCAUCUCCCCUCCGACGGAUCCCCAGAUUUAGCCCUCUGCCUAAGCGGCGGCACCACUCCGCCGUGCAGCUCGCCGACCCGCUCAUCGCCGCAGGGGUGGAGGAGGCGGUGGUGGGCUUCGUCGCCGGCAAGCGCAAGGCCACCGAGGUAGCCCACGCGCUUGUAGCAUUCAAUCUGGGCUACCUUCCAGGAGGAGAUAAAAAAACAAUCACAGUACCUGAGACAACUGAGCUGGCACUACAAGCUGCCAGCAGAAUUGUUGGCUCAGGGGGACUCAUAAGUGUCCUUGUCUACAUUGGGCAUCUGGGUGGAAGUGAUUGCUGA